rnacentral:tRNA from 1 species
GGGGUUGUGGCUCAGUGGUAGAGCACUCACCUACCAUGUGUGAGGCACUGGGUUGGAAUCUCAGCACUACA